GCGCGCGUGGCGGAAUCGGCAGACGCGCCAGACUUAGGAUCUGGUCCCGAAAGGGGUGGAGGUUCGACUCCUCUCGCGCGCACCA
rnacentral:tRNA from 1 species